rnacentral:rRNA from 1 species
GUCUAUGACCAUGCCACCCUGAACGUGCCCGAUCUCGUCUGAUCUAGGAAGCUAAUCAGGGUCAGGCCUGGUUAGUACUUGGAUGGGAGAUCACCUAGGAAGACGGGGCACUGUAGGUG